AGUUUUUUGCUCAUACUUUAUUUUCAACAUUGCUUAAGCAUUUUGUUUUGGGUGCAUCUCUUGCAUACUCAAGCGAUAAUGGUGACAUUUCCAGCAAUUGCUAUAAUUUUCCAUUUUAGAUACAGAGACAUCUGUCACUUAGAACAUCACAUGAAAAGCUUCCAGGCUAGUUCCUGGGAUGGGAAGGCCCCUAGAAGCUGAUACAUGAACUGUGUGGAAUAACGCAAUCUCGGUGGAUUACAGCCUCCCCCCAGGUUUUGUACCUGUGCGACUGUGAUGAUAGAUCUGCCAUCACAGAGAUGAUGAAGUUGGCAGGGGGAGCAGCCUUUGGAAUUAUCAGCCAGAGUGGGUGUGAGAUGUGUUAAGUGUGGGACGUCUACGAGCCGUCUAAGUGGAGACGUCAGGAAGAGAGUCGGACAUAAGGGUCCGGGGCCAGGGAAGGGGUCAGGGCAGGAGUCAUCAAGAAAUGGAGAUACUCAGAGCCAUGAGCUUGGAUGGGACCACCAAGCAGGGGAGAGUAGAUGGUGAAGAAGAGAGGACCGGGUUGAGGCCUGCGUGCUCCAUCCUGAAGAGGGCAGGGAGAAGGGAAGGAGCCGGCAGAAGUGACCAAGGGAGUGGUUGGUGGGGCCUUUGGGAGAUGAUUAGUCAUGAAGGUGGAGCCCUCAGGAACGGAUUCCUGCCCUUAUAUGAGGCCAGAGAGCUAGCUUGCCCUGUUUCCACCACGUGAGGACACAAGGAGAAGUCGGCAGACUGCAACCUGGAAGAAAUCACGAGAACCCGACAUGCCGGCACCCUGAUCUCGGACUUCAGUUUCCAGAA